rnacentral:rRNA from 1 species
GACGAACGCUGGCGGCGUGCUUAACACAUGCAAGUCGAACGAUGAAGCCCAGCUUGCUGGGUGGAUUAGUGGCGAACGGGUGAGUAACACGUGAGUAACCUGCCCUUGACUCUGGGAUAAGCGCUGGAAACGGCGUCUAAUACCGGAUACGACCUGCCCCGGCAUCGGGUGCGGGUGGAAAGUUUUUCGGUCAAGGAUGGACUCGCGGCCUAUCAGGUAGUUGGUGAGGUAAUGGCUCACCAAGCCGACGACGGGUAGCCGGCCUGAGAGGGUGACCGGCCACACUGGGACUGAGACACGGCCCAGACUCCUACGGGAGGCAGCAGUGGGGAAUAUUGCACAAUGGGCGAAAGCCUGAUGCAGCAACGCCGCGUGGGGGAUGACGGCCUUCGGGUUGUAAACCUCUUUUAGUAGGGAAGAAGGGCUUCGGCUUGACGGUACCUGCAGAAAAAGCACCGGCUAACUACGUGCCAGCAGCCGCGGUAAUACGUAGGGUGCAAGCGUUGUCCGGAAUUAUUGGGCGUAAAGAGCUCGUAGGCGGUUUGUCGCGUCUGCUGUGAAAACCCGAGGCUCAACCUCGGGCCUGCAGUGGGUACGGGCAGACUAGAGUGCGGUAGGGGAGAAUGGAAUUCCUGGUGUAGCGGUGGAAUGCGCAGAUAUCAGGAGGAACACCGAUGGCGAAGGCAGUUCUCUGGGCCGUUACUGACGCUGAGGAGCGAAAGCGUGGGGAGCGAACAGGAUUAGAUACCCUGGUAGUCCACGCCGUAAACGUUGGGAACUAGAUGUGGGGACCUUUCCACGGUCUCCGUGUCGCAGCUAACGCAUUAAGUUCCCCGCCUGGGGAGUACGGCCGCAAGGCUAAAACUCAAAGGAAUUGACGGGGGCCCGCACAAGCGGCGGAGCAUGCGGAUUAAUUCGAUGCAACGCGAAGAACCUUACCAAGGCUUGACAUAUACCGGAAACUUCCAGAAAUGGUUGCCCCGCAAGGUCGGUAUACAGGUGGUGCAUGGUUGUCGUCAGCUCGUGUCGUGAGAUGUUGGGUUAAGUCCCGCAACGAGCGCAACCCUCGUUCUAUGUUGCCAGCACGUCAUGGUGGGAACUCAUAGGAGACUGCCGGGGUCAACUCGGAGGAAGGUGGGGAUGACGUCAAAUCAUCAUGCCCCUUAUGUCUAGGGCUUCACGCAUGCUACAAUGGCUGGUACAAAGGGCUGCGAUACCGCAAGGUGGAGCGAAUCCCAAAAAGCCGGUCUCAGUUCGGAUUGGGGUCUGCAACUCGACCCCAUGAAGUCGGAGUCGCUAGUAAUCGCAGAUCAGCAACGCUGCGGUGAAUACGUUCCCGGGCCU